rnacentral:tRNA from 1 species
GGGGAUUUAGCUCAGCGGUAGAGCGUUUGCCUAGCAAGCUCAAGGCCCUGGGUUCGGUUCCCAGCUCCG